GGAUUUCUAAUGACUUGCAAUAUGACUCAAUAUUGAACCUUAUAGGCAAAUUCUCUAUAUGACAUGAUUGUGUUAUACAUUAAGUCUAUAGACAUAGUAGCUAGGUGAUCGAGUUAAAAUGUUAAAACCCUAUAGGCAUGAUAUUUAGAUGACUGAUUUACAACAUAAAUCCUAUAGGUAUGAUAUCUACCCUCUAGUAUAUGCCAGUCAAGUACACCCCUCCCACCUUUUCACUAAUAUUCCCCGAGUUUUCUUUUACAAAAUUAUUACAGAACCAGAAGAAAGAAGGAUAAUUCAAAUACAUCACAGCCUAUAGCUAGAUCUGAGAAGCCUAGUUCAAUCCUAGUGUCCAAUAACAUGUGUUUCACCAAUUUUGGAAUCUAGAUUUCCAAGGCCUUCUCUUAUCCAAAGUGUUUCAGAGUUCCAAGGAGCUUCAGGAGCUCCAGACAGUGCUUGCCAUAACAGAAUAGUGCAGUGUGGAAUAGCCAGCCCUCAGGCAUCCAUGUUCACAGGGAACUCCAGGUUCCCAAAGCAUGGCUUACCAGAGAGGGGUAGAACUUAGAACUAGGAAUAAGUGCAAAGUGAGAGAGGGGUUAGGGAGCCAUAACAGAGAGUGGUCAUACCCAGCCAUGGGCAUAGAAUGGCACACCCCUGACCAUCUGCUUGGUCCAAAAAAUUAAGAGCAGACAUUUUUUUGUAAAUCAGACUUGGGUCUGGAUGGUGAUUAGACACCACCAGACUUGAGUCAAGGCUCAACACAUAAGGGGUAAAGGGAAUGAGAAUUGAUUUGAGUAAAGUUUCAGGAGAACCUAGUUCUAGGUCAUGGAUCGCAAUAAUAGGACGAUGCCAUGACUCAGAACAGUACUCUCACAUAAGAAAGGGUCAAAGGAAGGGGACUCACAUAGAGAACAUUCACAGAAGCACAAGAAAAGCAUAACACACUAAGGGUGCAGAAUCAUAGAAAAAGAAGCAGAUCAGACAUAGGGCAAGAAAGCAUAAAGUAAACACAUAGUGAGAAUGCAUAACAAGAGAGAAUGAAUAAACACAUAGUCAGGAGGGUGUUAUUUAACUAGAAAGACAUACAAGUUGCAAUUUUUAGUAUAGUAGAACAAGCAAAAGUAAGUAAUCAGCUAGAAAGUCAGCAAGAGCAAACUCAGAAACUUCACCAAGUAUUUGAGAGUUCAAGAGGAAACCAUGAGUAUUUCAGACAGUAGAAGAGAGAGGAGCAGAGUACUCAAUAUCAAAAAUAGAGAAGGUAGUAGUAGAGAGAGUAUUUGAAAUUGUGUUGUGAAAGGUGUUCGAAGUAUUUUUUAAUUCAAAAGUCUGUAUGUAAUCUGAAGUGUGAGCGAUUAGAGAAUAAGCAAGUAUUUAUACUUUGAAAUUAUACAUGUAACAAUGCAAGAAAAUAAUCAAGUAUCAAUUAAAAUUCAAUCAACAAAAGAAGAUUCCUCUAAUUAAGGGAUUCAAAUUUGAACGGUACAAGACAGGAAACAUAUAAGGAAAUGGGAUCAAAUAAUUAGAUUAUGCUCAUCAUGCAAAUAAGGGUAAGUACAUUGGAUUUUGAAAUAUACGGUUAAGUAAAUAACGCAAAGAAGUAAAACGAUUAGAACAUAGUUAAUCAGGGAAUCCGAGAUCCCCCAAAUCACUAAUGAACCAAGCCAGACAAUAGGGGGGAAUCGUGAGGUUCAAAUUAAUCAAGGAAAGAAUCAAUCGAAUUCACACAAGGCAGUCUGAAAUCAAUCCCCAAAUCAAAGGUUGUUCUGAGAGGGAAAAUCUUACUAUAAAGAGGGCAUGUGUUUUAAACAUGCGAGGAUGGACCCACACAAAAAUGAAUGUAUUGUACAACCAAAGACCAGUGAGUAGAGGACUAUAGCUAAAAUAGAGUAUCAGAUAGCAUGCGAGGUCAGAUAAAAGGUCCUACAGAGUUUAGCAAAAAUCAGAACCACAAGGUUGAAACAAAGGUGAACUCAAAAAUUAGGGCUUUAAAACCAAACUAGUUCAGAGAUGAGAAACAAAAAGGUCACAUACGAAUGGUCUCAAUAACUCGACAAACAAACCCCAAAUUUUAGGGCUUCCACUAUUAAUCAAGCGUAGAGACGAAAGCAAGCAAAUCAAGCAACAACAAUAACGAAAUAAAUUCAGAAAACCCCAAAAGAACUAAAACCUUAAGCAUUUAAGGAAAACAUGAUAAAAGAACAAAAUACUGUAAAAGAAAUCAUAAAGAAAUAGUAUAAUAAAGCAUGGUAGAUGAAAAUACAGAAGAAUCACAGUAGAGCAUAUACAGUAAAAGAAACAAAUAGGAGUCACAGUAGAACAAGUAAAGCUAAAGAAAACCCUUAAGUUGGAGAAGACGAACAGUUUGAAAGCAAAGUUUUGAAAGAAACUUGAGAAAUCAUUUGAAAACCCUAAAAGAGACACAGAUCUAGAAGAAACAAGAGAACCUCGAAAGUCUAGGUUUUAGAAGAACACUAGAAGCAAGAAAGGCCUGGAAAUGGUUUGCUCUGAGCCAGAUGAGCCAGAGAUAGGUUCAUAGGACCAAGAUGUGCCAGAGCCAAACCGGAGACGACCGUGAAACUUGAAUCGAUGAAUAUCGCAGCAAAAACCUUCAAGUCCAGACCUUUCAUCUUCAAGUAAAAGAUGUAUAAGAACACAUAAUGUGGGUACAGGCUGCUCAGGGCUUGGGAUACCAUUGAUUCUGGUGAGAAUGAUACGGAAGUGGGCGGAAAAAGACUAGGGUUUCAGAGAGCUAGAGAGAGUUGGAGAGGACGAGAGAGUUUAGAGGCGGC
rnacentral:lncRNA from 1 species